rnacentral:rRNA from 1 species
AUGAUGGGUUUAUGGUUUAGAACUGUUUCACUUAUAUUGUAAUGAAUUUUUUUAAUAGGUGAAAAUACCUAUAGAAAAAUAUUAGACGAGAAGACCCUUAGAGUUUUAAUAAAGAUUUUAUAAGAUAAAAUGAUGUUUUUGUUGGGGCGACAUUUUAUUAAAUCUGGAUAGGUAUAACAUAAAUUAAACAUACUAUUCAUAUAACUUUAUGUUUGUUAAAAAGAAUAUAACUACCUGAGGGAUAACAGCAUAAU